rnacentral:rRNA from 1 species
AUUGAACGCUGGCGGCAGGCCUAACACAUGCAAGUCGAACGGUAACAGAAAGCAGCUUGCUGCUUUGCUGACGAGUGGCGGACGGGUGAGUAAUGUCUGGGAAACUGCCUGAUGGAGGGGGAUAACUACUGGAAACGGUAGCUAAUACCGCAUAACGUCGCACGACCAAAGAGGGGGACCUUCGGGCCUCUUGCCAUCGGCUGUGCCCAGAUGGGAUUAGCUAGUAGGUGGGGUAACGGCUCACCUAGGCGACGAAUCCUAGCUGGUCUGAGAGGAUGACCAGCCACACUGGAACUGAGACACGGUCCAGACUCCUACGGGAGGCAGCAGUGGGGAAUAUUGCACAAUGGGCGCAAGCCUGAUGCAGCCAUGCCGCGUGUAUGAAGAAGGCCUUCGGGUUGUAAAGUACUUUCAGCGGGGAGGAAGGGAGUAAAGUUAAUACCUUUACUCAUUGACGUUACCCGCAGAAGAAGCACCGGCUAACUCCGUGCCAGCCGCCGCCGUAA